rnacentral:rRNA from 1 species
UACGGAGGGUGCAAGCGUUAUCCGGAUUUACUGGGUUUAAAGGGUGUGUAGGCGGGUCUUUAAGUCAGUGGUGAAAUCUCCGGGCUCAACCUGGAAACUGCCAUUGAUACUAUUGAUCUUGAAUUUUGUUGAGGUAGGCGGAAUAAGUCAUGUAGCGGUGAAAUGCAUAGAUAUGACUUAGAACACCAAUUGCGAAGGCAGCUUGCUAAACAAAUAUUGACGCUGAGGCACGAAAGCGUGGGGAUCAAACAGG